GAUGAACGCUGGCGGCGUGCUUAACACAUGCAAGUCGAACGGGAAACCUUUUAAUGAAGCUUCGGCAGAUUUAGCUGGUUUCUAGUGGCGGACGGGUGAGUAACGCGUGGGUAACCUGCCUUAUACAGGGGGAUAACAGUCAGAAAUGACUGCUAAUACCGCAUAAGCGCACAGGACCGCAUGGUCCGGUGUGAAAAACUCCGGUGGUAUAAGAUGGACCCGCGUUGGAUUAGCUUGUUGGUGGGGUAACGGCUCACCAAGGCGACGAUCCAUAGCCGGCCUGAGAGGGUGAACGGCCACAUUGGGACUGAGACACGGCCCAGACUCCUACGGGAGGCAGCAGUGGGAAUACUGCACAAUGGGGGAAACCCUGAUGCAGCGACGCCGCGUGAAGGAAGAAGUAUCUCGGUAUGUAAACUUCUAUCAGCAGGGAAGAUAGUGACGGUACCUGACUAAGAAGCCCCGGCUAACUACGUG
rnacentral:rRNA from 1 species